UACGUAGGACCCAAGCGUCAUCCGGAAUUACUGGGCGUAAAGAGUUGAGUAGGUGGCAGAGUAAGUAGAUAGUGAAAGCGUGUGGCUCAACCAUACAUCCAUUAUCUAAACUACUCAGCUAGAGGACGAGAGAGGUAGAUGGAAUUCCUAAUGUAGGGGUAAUAUCCGUAGAUAUUAGGAGGAACACCGAUGGCGUAGGCAGUCUACUGGCUCGUUCCUGACACUAAGUCACGAAAGCGUGGGGAGCAAACAGG
rnacentral:rRNA from 1 species